UCUCUCGUCAUAGAUGUUUCUCUCUGUCCCCCUCUCUCUUCCUCUCUGAAAUGAAUAAAAAAAAAAAAAAAAAAUAUUGUAAGAUGUGAUGGUAGGAAAAACCUGAUAGUUAAGAAAUCUUAAUUUUAAAAGAUAUUAAUAUAUGCCAUCAGAUCUGUCCAUCUUUAUAUUUGGCACAGAUUUCUUAAAGAAUAUAUUAAAAAAAACUUUACUUUUGAGAAUCCCAGUGUGUUUUUAAGAUAGCUAUUUGUAAUUGAUAAUCUAUUGUGUUCAUAAUAGAUUUGGUGCACUAGACAAUGUGGUUAUUAUUUUUAAUCUUUAGACAUAAGUUUUCCAGAAAAUUUGAAAUAAAAUGCAGUUUUAGAAAAUAAUUUGUCUUCCCACAAAUUCUGGAUAUAUUAGUAUAAACUUUUGCUGGGGGGAAAAUGAUUUUUUUUUUUUUAAAUCCUCACCGGAGGAUAUUUUUCCAUUGAUUUUUAGAGAGGGGAAGAGAGGGAAACACGGAAAUAUUGAUGUGAGAGAAACACAUCUAUUGGUUGCCUCCUGCACGCACCCUAACCAGGGCCCCGGGCCAGAGAGGAUCAUGCAACUGAGGUACAUGCCCUUGACCGGAAUCGAACCCGGGACCUUUCGGCCCACAGGCCGACGCUCUAUUCACUGAGCCAAACCAGUUUCAGCACCUGUAUUGUUUUAGAUAAAUUUCUAUAAAUUACUAAUAACUUUUUAUAACUUAAUUCAGGGGAGGGCCAGGUAUGAGCUGUUAAUAUGGGUAAAAAUUCUGCACAAAAGGCUAAGGCACGAUGAGCCUGUCAUUCUGGGUAUUACACUUGUCUGUUUUCUAUGUUUUUUUUGAUCCAAAGAUGUUUUGCAAAUAAUAACCUCAUAACUUAUUCCUAUUUUGAGUUUUCUCUGUUUGUUUGUGGUUUUGAGAUUAGAACAAAAAUGGGUUCUCUCAAUGUUUGAUACUUUGCGAUUAAAUAUUCUUGUUAUGGUAGGCUUUCCUGCUGAUUCUUCCCCCCUCCUCUUAUUUUAGGUUCCUUUCUCCAAAUUUAGUUCUUGUUCAUUCUUGAGACUUGGAAACCUUUUGCCUCACUACUUAAAUGGGUAUUUUUAAAUUCCAAGUUAAUUAUUUGUAUAAUAAAUGUGCAUAGUAAAAGAAUUGAAGAAAAUAGUCUGUUGUCUUAACCAUAUGAGAACACUGGUUUCUGUGGAUAUUACAUAUUUGAAGUGAAUAUAUCCUUUUAGGUAUCUGACUAUCCUCUUCUCUGUGUUUCUGCUUAAAUUAACCAGCUUUAAGUCCAAUGUUCUUUACUUACUUUUUUCAACCUUAAUUAUUUUGAAGAUGUGAUUCUUGUUUUUUGUGACACACACACCAAAGAAAGGGAAAUAAUUUUGGACUCGCUAAGACCUGUUUAAGAGCAUAGAACUAAGUGUGCUUCUUGUGAAAUUAGAUUACUGAAAGCAUAGAGCCUCUAUAGAGUGGUUUGGACAUAAGGGAGUACAAACCCUUGGGUAAUUUUCACUCUUAGGAGAAGUUAGGGAUAGCCUCUUAGAAAGGGGUGACAUGCAAGUCUGUUUGACACCUCGUCUGAGCCUUUGCAAUGCUUUAGGCCCUGAAUCAAGACCAGUGGUUUUUUUGUAGUUGUUGGUUUCAAACAGGAGCCAAGAGCAAUGCCUUCCUGUGGUUUGUUGGCCAUUCAGGACCCAGUGGGAAUAGCCAAUUCAAUUGGAAGAAACAUAGUCUGUAAAUAUAAUAUUUUUUUAUGUUUGUUUACAUUUAGUUGUUAGGUUUAAGAAUCAGGAACUCAAUAAUUCUGUGGGGAUAAGGACUUAACCAAAAUAGUAUUUUGUAGCUGUUAAGAGAGACUUUGAGUUUCUUUACUUAUUCAUUUCUCUUUUCUCCCUUCCCUCUUUUGCUCACUGACUUGCUUUGUGGUUGUGAGGACAUUAAUAAAACAAUCUCAUAUUACCCAAUAUUUUAAGGCAGUAUUUCAGUUUAAUUUUUAAUUAGACUGAUUGAAAAAUACUCCUU